UACAGAGGGGGCAAGCGUUUAUUCGGAAUUAUUGGGCGUAAAGGGCGCGUAGGCGGCUUGGCAAGUGGAUGGUGAAAUCCCUCGGCUUAACCGAGGAACUGCCGUCCAAACUGCUUCGCUUGAGACCGGGAGAGGUGAGUGGAAUUCCCAGUGUAGCGGUGAAAUGCGUAGAUAUUGGGAGGAACACCAGUGGCGAAGGCGGCUCACUGGACCGGUACUGACGCUGAUGCGCGAAAGCGUGGGGAGCAAACGGG
rnacentral:rRNA from 1 species